rnacentral:rRNA from 1 species
GACGAACGCUGGCGGCGUGCUUAACACAUGCAAGUCGAGCGGAAAGGCCACUUUGGUGGUACUCGAGCGGCGAACGGGUGAGUAACACGUGAGUAAUCUGCCCCUGGCUUUGGGAUAGCCACCGGAAACGGUGAUUAAUACCGGAUACGACCACUUCUCGCAUGGGAUGGUGGUGGAAAGUUUUUUCGGCCAGGGAUGUGCUCGCGGCCUAUCAGCUUGAUGGUGAGGUAAUGGCUCACCAUGGCUUCGACGGGUAGCCGGCCUGAGAGGGUGACCGGUCACACUGGGACUGAGACAUGGCCCAGACUCCUACGGGAGGCAGCAGUGGGGAAUAUUGGACAAUGGGCGGAAGCCUGAUCCAGCAACGCCGCGUGAGGGAUGACGCCUUCGGGUUGUAAACCUCUUUCAGCAGGGACGAAGCGCAAGUGACGGUACCUGCAGAAGAAGCACCGGCCAACUACGUGCCAGCCGCCGCUGUAA